UAUACCUGUUAAGAAAAAAAAAUUAAAAAAAAUAUAAAAACAUGUACAUGGUAUAAAGAUGAUAAAUAGAAUUUUUCUCACAUGCAAUAAGUAGAGCCUAACCCUUCCUAUACGUGCGGUCUCUCUGCAAGUCAAAUACCCCUCACAAACCUCUCUGUUUCUUUAUAGCCCAAUUUCCACGCACCCGAUCGAGUAGAUGAAGAAACGGCCAAGAAAAAUUGAAAAUGACUAGAUGAACAAACAAACAAAUUCUCAGGGAAUAUAAAAAUUUUAAAUAUUAAAACAAAAAGAAAGGAUAAUCAAAGUUGUCAAAUGACCAUUUACAUGAUUUCAAACCUCAUCGUCAGCUCCAGUAUCAUUGGUUUUCUUGUUUACAUAUCCAAUCAGCAAGAAAAAUUUACAUAAUUUCCUCAAGCCAACUCUCUCUCUCUCUCUCUCUCUCUCUCUCUCUCUCUGUGAGAAAUGUCUAAUGAACAUGAUCAUGGAUUUCACAUGGACAUGCCUCCUUCAGGAACCAGGCCGAAUGGUGGCAGGAGCAACCACAUGAUGAUGCACAUAAGCUUCUACUUGGGCAAAGAUGCUAUAGUCCUAUUCUCCAGAUGGCCCAACCAAAACCUCGGCAUAUCCAGCAACAGCUACAUACUCAGUUUCUUUUUCCAAGAGAGCAUUCUCCAAGGAACCAUCACCGCUUCUUGCUACCCUUUGUUCAUGAGCUUGAAGUGAUCCUAUUAGCUCAAUAACUGAUAGAAUUUGCAAGUCCUUUGACUCCUCAAUUGCUACGACAAUACGAUCAUACUUCUCAGAAUCGCUCAUACUCCCUUUGAAGUAUUGGCCCUCAUCAAUCUUGGAAAGAUUGAUUCAGAGACUGCCUGCUGUAGGAUAAAUAAAGUUCUUGCAUCCUUGGUGCUUUCUUGCUUGCUUUGAGUUGAACUCGAGAUUCCUUUUGGCAUUGUCACUUUUUUCCCACAACAUCCCAUAGAUCUUGAGAUAGGAAAGAGGUCUUCAUUUUAAUGCUCCAAUAAUCGUAGUUUUCACCAUUAAAAAUAGGAACUGAAGUUGUUGCACCAAAGGUAGCCAUUUUCAACCCUCAGAUGAACCUAUUUAAUUAGCUCUGAUUCCAAUUGUUAGUUUUAAACAAAGAAGCAAAUAGAGGAAAAACAAGGGAAAUAUUGAGAAACCUCAAUCCUUAAUCACGGACUGAUUCUGUUGUUCUAC